GUGUGCGGGGGAGGUGGGCUGUCUUCCCACCCACCGGUCCCCCGACCCGCGAGCAAGCCUUGAACAAGGCCAAGCAGCGUUGGGCUUCCCGAAGCUGGAGGGUCGGCGCAGCCUUCGAACUGAAAAGCUUAUCAUGGGACCCCAAGCUUUCUGGCCACCUGUUACAAAAGCAGUGGAACUGGAGGCAACCCCGCAAACCUGGCCAGAGUACUGCCGCUAAGACUCAAGGAUGACUGCUUUCCCCAGGGAAUGAAUGGUACACCUGGAAUCCACGUGAUGUGGGCAGAUCGGGUAAACAUCAUCACAGAGUGUAAAUAAGAAAUGAAAGCAAAUACUACAACAGCAAGAAGAUAAGGGUGAACUUACGUGCUCACCGACAAUGUCCUUAAAGUCCUGGCAUCCUCAGAGCAAGACAAAAAGAAUGGGGGCGAGCAAAGGUAACCCCCAGUGGGGCUCUGGAAGUGUGAAGACCCCUC